AGUGCAUGUGGUGGAUGCCUUGGCAGUCAGAGGCGAUGAAAGACGUGAUAGCCUGCGAAAAGCUCCGGGGAGGCGGCAAAUAUCCUUUGAUCCGGAGAUGUCUGAAUGGGGGAACCCACCUACUUUAAGGUAGGUAUUGCAACAUGAAUACAUAGUGUUGCAAGGCGAACGAGGGGAAGUGAAACAUCUCAGUACCCUUAGGAAAAGAAAUCAAUUGAGAUUCCCUCAGUAGCGGCGAGCGAACGGGGAUCAGCCCAUUAAGUUAUGUGUGUUUUAGUGGAACGCUCUGGGAAGUGCGAACGUAGAGGGUGAUAUUCCCGUACACGAAAGGGCACACAUAAUGAUGACGAGUAGGGCGAGGCACGUGAAACCUUGUCUGAAUAUGGGGGGACCAUCCUCCAAGGCUAAAUACUCCUGACUGACCGAUAGUGAACCAGUACCGUGAGGGAAAGGCGAAAAGAACCCCUGUGAGGGGAGUGAAAUAGAUCCUGAAACCGCAUGCAUACAAGCAGUGGGAGCACCUUCGUGGUGUGACUGCGUACCUUUUGUAUAAUGGGUCAGCGACUUAUAUUCAGUAGCGAGGUUAACCGUAUAGGGGAGCCGUAGAGAAAUCGAGUCUUAAUAGGGCGUUUAGUUGCUGGGUAUAGACCCGAAACCAGGCGAUCUAUCCAUGAGCAGGUUGAAGGUUGGGUAACACUAACUGGAGGACCGAACCCACUGUCGUUGAAAAGCCAGGGGAUGACUUGUGGAUAGGGGUGAAAGGCUAAUCAAGCCUGGUGAUAGCUGGUUCUCCCCGAAAGCUAUUUAGGUAGCGCCUCGGACGAAUACCAUAGGGGGUAGAGCACUGUUUCGGCUAGGGGGUCAUCCCGACUUACCAAACCGAUGCAAACUCCGAAUACCUAUGAGUACUAUCCGGGAGACAGACUGCGGGUGCUAACGUCCGUAGUCAAGAGGAAAACAAUCCAGACCGCCAGCUAAGGCCCCAAAAUCAUAGUUAAGUGGGAAACGAUGUGGGAAGGCAUAGACAGCUAGGAGGUUGGCUUAGAAGCAGCCACCCUUUAAAGAAAGCGUAAUAGCUCACUAGUCGAGUCGGCCUGCGCGGAAGAUGUAACGGGGCUAAAACUAUGUGCCGAAGCUGCGGAUGUAUACUUUGUAUACGUGGUAGGGGAGCGUUCUGUAAGCCGAUGAAGGUGUGUUGAGAAGCAUGCUGGAGGUAUCAGAAGUGCGAAUGCUGACGUGAGUAACGACAAAACGGGUGAAAAACCCGUUCGCCGAAAGACCAAGGGUUCCAGUCCAACGUUAAUCGGGGCUGGGUGAGUCGACCCCUAAGGCGAGGCCGAAAGGCGUAGUCGAUGGGAAAAUGGUUAAUAUUCCAUUACUUCUGUGUAAUGCGAUGAGAGGACGGAGAAGGCUAAAUCAGCCUGGCGUUGGUUGUCCAGGUGAAAGGAUGUAGGCAUGUAUCUUAGGCAAAUCCGGGGUACUCUAUGCUGAGAUCUGAUAGCAAGCUGUACUUGUACAGCGAAGUGGUUGAUGCCAUGCUUCCAGGAAAAGUCUCUAAGCUUCAGUUACACAGGAAUCGUACCCGAAACCGACACAGGUGGUCAGGUCGAGUAGACCAAGGCGCUUGAGAGAACUCUGCUGAAGGAACUAGGCAAAAUGGUACCGUAACUUCGGGAGAAGGUACGCUGUUGUUGGUGAUGGAACUCGCUUCCUGAGCUGACGACAGCCGCAGAAACCAGGCCGCUGCAACUGUUUAUUAAAAACAUAGCACUCUGCAAACACGAAAGUGGACGUAUAGGGUGUGAUGCCUGCCCGGUGCUGGAAGGUUAAUUGAUGGGGUUAGCGUAAGCGAAGCUCUUGAUCGAAGCCCCAGUAAACGGCGGCCGUAACUAUAACGGUCCUAAGGUAGCGAAAUUCCUUGUCGGGUAAGUUCCGACCUGCACGAAUGGCAUAAUGAUGGCGGCGCUGUCUCCAGCAGAGGCUCAGUGAAAUCGAAAUCGCUGUGAAGAUGCAGUGUACCCGCGGCUAGACGGAAAGACCC
rnacentral:rRNA from 1 species